GGGGAGGAGGAAGCGGACGGAAUGCCGGAGAAGAAAGGGGGAAACCUCCUUCUUUCUUUAGCGUUCCGUCUGCUUCCUCCUCCCCU
rnacentral:pre_miRNA from 1 species